AGCGAACGCUGGCGGCAGGCCUAACACAUGCAAGUCGAACGGAUCCUUCGGGAUUAGUGGCGGACGGGUGAGUAACACGUGGGAACGUGCCUUUUGGUUCGGAACAACUCAGGGAAACUUGAGCUAAUACCGAAUGUGCCCUUGGGGAAGAUUUAUCGCCAUUAGAGCGGCCCGCGUCUGAUUAGCUUGUUGGUGAGGUAAAGGCUCACCAAGGCUACGAUCAGUAGCUGGUCUGAGAGGAUGAUCAGCCACAUUGGGACUGAGACACGGCCCAAACUCCUACGGGAGGCAGCAGUGGGGAAUAUUGGACAAUGGGCGGCAAGCCUGAUCCAGCCAUGCCGCGUGAGUGAUGAAGGCCUUAGGGUUGUAAAGCUCUUUCGGCGGGGAAG
rnacentral:rRNA from 1 species